rnacentral:lncRNA from 1 species
GGAAGACGCUACAGUGGCAGCUUGCUCAAGAGCAAAGGCAACAGUCUCCCCAGCAGGGGCUUUCAGCAGCCUCCAGCCAGCCAGACACCAAGAGCAAGCCUCCGGAGGACCUGCAGACCCAAGACUGGGUGUGUGAGCCUCAGGAGCACAGGCGCCCAGGUACCUCCUGGAAUGUCAGCAUCGAUGAGCGCAGGCAUCUGGCCAUGCUGCGUAUGGAGGAGAGGACAAACCCAGCCAGGGACCCAUUCAGAAAUGUGCUGGGCCUGCAUCUGGAGGACCAGCAGACUGAGCCCUCCCCACCGACCCAGCCUGUCCCAGACCUUUCCUUCCAGGCCGGUGAAAAUGUGGUGAGGGACAUCACACAGCUGGUGGCAGAGAUGAUGUCCGAGGGUAUAGAGAGAGACGUACUCCUCCCUCACCCCCUUAGACCUACAGAGUACUCCAACGCCUUACAGGACUUCUUGGCCCGGAAUGCGCCCCCUUUGGAAGAAUGAGAAUUCUUCAAGGUUGCCCCACCCCUAAGAAGGAUCUCGGCUUAGCCCUGC